rnacentral:lncRNA from 10 species
GUCAAGCCACAGAUUCCACUCAUUUCCUGAGGUAGCCAAGACAGGGUUUUUACCGCUAUGAGUCACCACCCUCAUGCCUCCAAGGCCUAGUGCAAAGACGAGCGCAUGUGGAAUGUGGUGAAUGACGUCAUCACUGCUGUUCAUUCUCACUGUCCAGAAAUGGCUCCAGGCUGAGUUGCACCCUCAAAGCUUUCCUCUGUUUCACCUCUGUUCAGACCCAAUGCAGGCCCCUUGCAGCCCAGAGGAAUAAAGAGAUGCCUAGAAAGAGGCCGUGGCCACUUGUUCUCUUUUGUUUUCUUCACUGCGGAGGACUGAGCAAGCCCACUAUCUGAGCAAUGUGGAAAUUCCAGCCCUCACAGGGCUUCACACCUUCAAGGGGAAGAACAUUGCGCCAUGAAACUUCCUUGCUCUAGGCCUGCCAGGAAGUUCAGUGAUGGAGCUGAGGAAAAGUGCGGCAGGCUGGCAGCAGGCCUUGUGACGACACAGCGGGGAAACCACAGGAUUCUGCAUUCUUCUGACCACAAGAGGAAGAGAUGGGAUCUUACUAUGUUGCCCAGGAUAUUCUCAAACUCUUGGCUUCAAGUGAUACUCCUGCCUUGGCCUCCCAGAUUGCUGGGAUUACAGGUAUGAGCCACCACACCUGGUCAUGAAAUGAUUUUUUUCUUUUGGGUGCACUAUGUCUAUGACAUUGCAUUUACUAAACAGUAAUUUCUCUCACCCUUCUGAAAACAAAGUUGUAUACACAAAUUCCAACCAGAAUUUCAUCCACUAAACACUAACUGAGCAGUUACUAUGCUCAGAGUAGCUGAGCAGUUACUCUCACGUGCUAGGCAUGAGAGCUGCAAAGGUGAACAGAGCCCGUCCUGGCCCACUUGCUGGGGAGAGUCCCAUAAACAGACGAUCAACCAUAACAAUGCCCUGAGAGUUGAAAGAUCACCUGGACCACUCCAUUCAGUUUACAGAAGACGACACUGAGGUCUCGAGUGAGGGAUUAAGUACCCAAGAUGUCACAGCAGAUAAUGGCAGAGUCAUGAUUUCUAACAAACAAACAGAAGAAGCAAGUCCCCUGCCUGUCGUCAGCCGGAGCCCCUCUGCUACGCCUGCUCCCCUGUUUCCCAUGGACUGCCUCAUCUUUUGCCUCUAGUUUGAGCCUGAAAGUUACACCUCCAAUGAAUGAAACUCACAGGAUCAUUGGCAUCCAGUCUUCCUCCUCCACACCCACUCUCGGCCACCUGCCCUUCUCAUCCACAGGUGGGAGCAAAGCUUGGUCAACCUGAUAGGCCUCUUCCAGGCAGGGACAGGAGAAGGGACGGCACAGCAGCUCUGAGUCAGGACUCCUUUCGGUAAGGCGUGGCCGCCAGGAAGGCCUGAGAGAAGGAAACCAGCCCAGGUGCGCUCUGUUUACCUUCUCGGCUCACAAACAUGACCAGACCCUCCUUGGCUGGCUGGAUGAAGUCCCAGCCACUUAGUCCAGCCCUCGAGCCUCUCCCAUUCCAGCCACAGUCUGCCUGGCCAGUUCCAUCCCCCUACGGCUUUCCUGGUGUACCACACCAUCCUCGGAUUGCAGCUCGCCCUCUUGGGCCUUUCUGGCCUAGCAGGUGCUGUUCCUUCAGCUCCAAUGCCCUUCCCUGCCUCUCCACCCGGCAAGCUCCUUCUCUUUGUAUCUUCUGCACUAACACUUCCCUCCUCCCUCCCCUUCCCCUCUUUUUCCUUUGUGCCCCGGUGGCACUUCUGAGACAAUGUUACAAGCAUAAUAAAAUAACAAAAUCAU